AAAAGAGGCUGCAGAUUCUUAGUGGACAGCUCUCAUAUCCCCUCCAGGGAAAAUGAUGAAAAAUGUCUUCAGAAAAAUAGCUUUAUGAAGGCAAGAGGACUUUUUGCACCUGCAAGACAUGUCUGAAAGCUCCUCAGGUCAAAACACAAGUAGUCAAGAGAUUUGUCCAUCUAAUUCAUCAUACUACUCUGAUCCAAGUGAGACCCACACUGGGUCAGCUCCAUCAAGGAGAAGAACAUUCCACCCACGUUUGGAUUCUGGAAUAUCAUCCUUGCUUCCAUCAGAUUCUUGUAAGUACCUCACUUGGCACAAGGUAGACAUGACGUUCAAGGAAGUCAACUGCGUUGCCCAAGAGUAAGAGAAGGAAUCUCUGAAGAAGAGCAACUUUUCAGACAGGUAGAGUGUGCCUUGCUCCCAAGGAAAAGAGUUCUUGAAAAAAACAAAUGGGAAACAUGGCUACAAGAAAACUGGGAAGACUGCAAGAAUUUGAACAUUUCAUUUCAGGGUUUGGGGGAUCCUUACCAAGUUGAAAAUUUUAACAGAAUUCUUAGAAGACUAAUUCGAGUUGAAACCCUCUGGUUAGUGGAUAAUUCACUGGUGGACUUAAGUGCCAUAAGAUUGCCAAGAGUAUUCUCCUGUUUGCCAAACUUAAAAAUGCUGGAUGGAAUCUUGAAGCUACCAGAAGAUUGCUUAUCACCAGAAACCAAUAUUUUUUCAAAAAUAUGCCUUGUAUCCUAAUGCAGUCUGUAUAGAAAGAAAGCAAUCAUCAUUGUUGCUAAAAGCUAAUAAACACAGGACAUGCAUGAUUAAAUAUUGCAGUUUAUUUUAUAUCUUUUUGCUUUUCUAAAUCAAGGUAGGAAAAUAUUUUCUGUAAAGGACCAGAUGGUAAACAUUUCAGGCUUUCUGGGCUAUAUGGUCUCUGUCACAACUACUCAACCCUGCCAUUGUAGUGCAAAAGCAGCCAUUGAUAAUAUGUAAA
rnacentral:lncRNA from 1 species